rnacentral:rRNA from 1 species
GCAGCUUGCUGCUUCGCUGACGAGUGGCGGACGGGUGAGUAAUGUCUGGGAAACUGCCUGAUGGAGGGGGAUAACUACUGGAAACGGUAGCUAAUACCGCAUAACGUCGCAAGACCAAAGAGGGGGACCUUCGGGCCUCUUGCCAUCGGAUGUGCCCAGAUGGGAUUAGCUAGUAGGUGGGGUAACGGCUCACCUAGGCGACGAUCCCUAGCUGGUCUGAGAGGAUGACCAGCCACACUGGAACUGAGACACGGUCCAGACUCCUACGGGAGGCAGCAGUGGGGAAUAUUGCACAAUGGGCGCAAGCCUGAUGCAGCCAUGCCGCGUGUAUGAAGAAGGCCUUCGGGUUGUAAAGUACUUUCAGCGGGGAGGAAGGUGUUGAGGUUAAUAACCUCAGCAAUUGACGUUACCCGCAAAAGAAGCACCGGCUAACUCCGUGCCAGCAGCCGCGGUAAUACGGAGGGUGCAAGCGUUAAUCGGAAUUACUGGGCGUAAAGCGCACGCAGGCGGUCUGUCAAGUCGGAUGUGAAAUCCCCGGGCUCAACGUGGGAACUGCAUUCGAAACUGGCAGGCUAGAGUCUUGUAGAGGGGGGUAGAAUUCCAGGUGUAGCGGUGAAAUGCGUAGAGAUCUGGAGGAAUACCGGUGGCGAAGGCGGCCCCCUGGACAAAGACUGACGCUCAGUGCGAAAGCGUGGGGAG